AUGAGAGCACAAAUGUGUGCAAAAAGCGACGAAUGAGAAGAGGUUGAACCUGAACUAAUGAGCCGGAUCGAAAGAGCACGCGGCAAGCGGAGAGCCUCGGAAAGAGCUCCACGCUUUUCCGG
ensembl:ncRNA M01H9.7 ncRNA